AGCUCUCCGAGUGGUGUGGAUGUUUAUUGGGCCUAAAGCAUCCGUAGCUGGCUAGGUAAGUCCCUUGUUAAAUCCACCGAAUUAAUCGUUGGAUUGCGGGGGAUACUGCUUGGCUAGGGGACGAGAGAGGCAGACGGUAUUUUCGGGGUAGGGGUGAAAUCCUAUAAUCCCGGGAAGACCACCAGUGGCGAAGGCUGUCUGCUAGAACGCGCCCGACGGUGAGGGAUGAAAGCUGGGGGAGCGAACC
rnacentral:rRNA from 1 species